GCAUGUCUUCAAAUGGGGCAGGCCGACAUGAUUAAACAUAUUAUAUCAGUUAUUCUGAGUCUCUGAUGGUGCCCCCCGACACUGUUUAGUCUCACACCCCUCCACGCCUGGAUAUCCAGAGUAAAAUGACUAAGAGACAGGUCGCAUACUUUCUUAAUAGCAUCUGCAUGAUGCAGAUUCACAGAGUAAGGGCUUUGCAGGAAUCGAACUACUGCUUUUCUCAAAAGCUGAGUCUCACAUGGUCUCCAGGAGUGUGUGGAACACCUCACAGGGGGUCUAGCAUAUUGGGAGUAAUGCUAUGGUAUACAUGGCUUUUAAGGGGAACUUUUGAUUUUUUUCUUCUCCUAUCCUUCUUUCCCCCUGCCUUUCCACUAUGUAUUUCUCCAUUUCUCUUUCCCCUUUUUUUUUCUGUUUAGAUUUUCUGUUCAGUCCAGUCUUGUCUUCUCCCCCCACUCCCAUCCCCUCUUUCUCCUUUCUAUCUUCUUGUAGCUUUCUUUUUCUCUACAGGAACUGAGAAAGACAAGGGUGUGUGGGCGGCCAUGGCGCCCCUCCAAGGAAAGUGUGAGGCUUUGGGCAAAAUAGACUCUCAUUUCUUCCAAACAUAGGUCUAAUCUGAACGGUCUCCAGGCUCUGCUCUCCAAUCCAACUUCAGUGGUUUCAGUUGGACUCCAAGAGAAGAGACUCCAGGGAUGCUGUGUCCUUAGUCUGGUCUUGGAGAAAAGCAGCUUUCUGUGCACCUACUUGUUCUCAAAGAUUGGGGCACCCACGUUCCCUUUCCUCAAGUCACCAGAGCCCAAGAGAGGCAAAGCAAUGCAAAGCCUGGCUCAGGAGAAGCAGGACUUCAUUAACAGUUUGAUUUAUCCCCAAAUGAUCUAUUGUUAUGCAUCAAACAUGUUUUCCCUACAAACCAGUUGGCAGGGAACACACAGAUAAAUUACUACAAGAUGUAACCAGACAAGCUGUUCAAAAGGAAAACGGUUCUGUGUGUGUGGAGCUCAGGAGAGAACAUCUAUAAACAUGUGUUGGGAAAUCAAUUUGGUAUAAAUUGGCUGGAAGAAAUGGGUUGCUGCCCCCAAACUACCAGCUUGCUGUGAUAUCUGACAGUUCUUUUGAGGUCACUGUCCACUGUUUCAGUAGUGAGGAUGGAAAAGCAAGGAUAUUAAUUUCUCCGGGGUGUCUUCAAAGAAAGACAAUGCCAGGUUAUCUGUAGGCAAUUGCAAAAUCUCUGCAUAGGCAAAUGUGAUCGUAGCCAAGCUUGUUUGCUGGAGAGAAUGGGUUAGAGAAAUUUCACUGGCAUAUAACAACAUGUAAAUGAUGCUAAAACAGGUAGCAAAAGAAGGAAGUAACAGAACACUAGAGCACUGUAGCAUACAGCUUGGUAUGGAAGUAACCAACCUGGAUGUAACAUCAGGCAGAAAGAACUAUAAAUCCCUGAUGGAAAGUUUUUGAACUCUUUUGAGAUUUUUAUGCUCUUUUAUAAAGGGAUAGGUAGACUUGCUUUGACAAGGUUGUAAGACUCAUAUAACACAUGCCACUUGUCCUAUAAUUCACUAUGGCCAAUCAACAGACAGACUGAUUAAAUUAAAAUUAAUUAGAUUAAAGUAGAUGGAGUCUAUUUUAAUGGACUAGUCAAUCACAUAGCCACAUUUCACAUGCUCAAUGGACACAUGGGGCUUGUGGCUAACAUUUGGGUGCACAAAUAUAGAACCUCCCCGACACUGGAAAGUUCUAUGGAACAGUGCUAACUUAGAAUAUGCCAGACACAAAGUAGACCUUUACACAUAAUUGUUUUCCUGUUUUGAACAUUUUCCCACAUAGUGCUUGAUUAGAGAGCUAAUUGUCAAAGUCAGAAUGCUCUUUCACAGCCUCCUGAUAAGACAGACUAUUUAGUGCUCUAAACCUGGCUGACAUCUACCAAGCAUGGGGAUUGCUGGAAAUUGGAGAGGAUACAAAAUAGAGAAUCUCUUGGUCUUUGGUUGAGAUAAGUAUGAGAGAUCUUGACUCAAGUCACAAAGGUAUCUCAACAGAGAUGACAAUCAAAGUAGAAACAAAAUGGAACUCAGCAAAGGAAAAAAAAAAAACUCUAUAAGAACAGCCACCAAAAUAUUCUUGCUUUAAGCCCGAUGAGUGGAUUCUAAAUGGGCUUCUGCUAACAUGCUUAUAAACCUUCUAAUGUUUCAUUUAACUGCCUUGGAAAAAUCCCAGGGUAGAUGAAAACUUCCCCCAAGAUAUGUAGCUGGACCUUAAGAAACUUUCUCAAGGUCAAAGACGAAUUAUUCCAAAGUUGCUUUCAUUUGGUUGAGGACCAUCUUGACUUUCUGGGGUGAAUCCAACACAUCUAUGCUGCUACUGAUCAGAUCGUAGCCUGCAGAGAAGGUCCUCUUGAUCUUCGUUUCCUGGCAGGAAAAAAAGAAGACGGCCCAAGAGGAAGAAUUGAAGCCAUGAAUGGUUAAAAACUCAUUCAAGGUCACAAGCUAGUAAAUCGUGGAGCCAGGACCUGACCCUGAGUGGUCCAGCAAAAGUUUGAGUUCUUAACCACUGUGCUCUGAAGCCUGUCAGGGUAAGUAAUCUCUCUGUGGCUUCCUUAUUUAAGUUUCCAAAAAUAAUGAAUUUUUUAAUGAUGUUUGGGGUUUUCCUUUUGCAGUUUUUCUGGUCACCAUAGAGAAACAAACUUAAGUAUUAAAAUAAUAAUAAUAACAACAACAACAACAACAUUAAAAAUAAUGACUGAAACAGUUUUCCAUAGAUAUGUCUUAUUAUAGAUUUAUGUAAACAAUCAUUUUGUAAUAAAUGAGAAUAACAAAUGCCAAUGAGAUGGUGAAAACACUUUAUCUUUGAAUUUGUGUGCGAUAGUUUGUAAUUUCUGUGCCAUAGUUUGGACCUGGGAAUUUCCCCCAAGAUCCAUGUGUUAAAGGCUUGGUCCUAGGCCCACAGCAGUAGUGGGGGUGGUGGUGGUGGUGGUAGAGCCUAAAGGGGUGGGGCCUAGUGGGAGAAUUUAAGUAAUUGGGGGGUGUGUCUUUGAAGGAGAUAAUGGGAUCCUAGAUCCUUCCUUUUCCUCUCUUUCAUGUCCUGGCCAUGAGAUCAACAGUUUCACCACAUGCUCCUGCCAUGAUGUGCUGUUUCACCAUGGGCCUCCAAAAUAAUGAACCUCCAAAAUUGAACAGCAGCAGCAGCAAUCAACGCACAUUGCAAACUGACGAUGAAGCCAUCACCAUGCAUGUGUUACCUUGGUCGAAACUCAUCACAACCCUGCUAUCAUCUCCAUUUUACAGAAAUCCAAAGAUCUGGUGACACCACAGCUCCAAUAAGUGGGACUUGGUUGCUGGCAGGCUCCAGUGGUUUUGAAACCUGAGUGUGUGUCAGUCACUUGGAGGGCCUGGUCAACACAAGGAAGACUGGGAGCCACUGGAAGCUCCUGAUUCAGGUAACCAAGGAAGAACCAGAUAAUUGUGCUUCUUACAAACCUGCAGGCACCGAGUCUUCCUGGAACUGCUCACGUGAUUUAGGAGUCCAUUUUAACAGUAACUGUCAGAGCUUAGUAACUUUUUCAGAGCUUAGUCUGUGCCGGCCAUUUGUCAUAGCACUGUGCUGGAUCGACUUUAAUCUUACAUCCCAACCCUAUUAGGAAGGUAUUAUCCUCAAUUUAUACAAGAAGAAACUGAAACUCAGAGAGGUUAAGUGACUUGUCCGAGGUCACACAUUUUGGUGAAUGGCAAAACCAGGACCUAAAUGCAAAUCAUCAGACUACUGAGUCUUGUUAUAAUAUCAUUUAUAAACCAUGCUGAGACACUUAGGAAAAAGUAAGGAGACACCAUUAAUAAACAUGCCAAGGCAAGAUGUAAGCCAGGACUCUCCUGGGCAAGCCAAGACAUAAGGUUACCUGAGUGGAGUUUGAAUUGAGUCUUGGACACAUGAAGGUUAGCAUUGGGGAAAACUAAAGAAAGACUAAGGUUUAUGCUGAACAUCUCCGUGAUGAAGUUUGUCAGAUGUUUCCUCUCCAUUCCAACUGUUGCAAUACUCCAGACAGAACAAAACAAGGAAAUGUCUUUUUUUGUUUCGUUUUGUUUUGUGCACUCUGACAUGAUUUUGCAGCCACUCACAAAGCCCUGGAGAACCAGAGUCAGGAUUUAGUCCACCAGGCAGGGACGUACAGACAUGGACAUUUCGGAAGAGAAAUUGGGCUGUGGUUUUUGAGAAAUUCUGAAUGUAGGUAUUUUUGCACAAAAUCCUGCCCAUCACAAUGGGUUUUACAGUAAGAGCAACAGCUGCUGGGGACUUAGUCCUCGCUGAUUUAUGCAAAGAGGAAGGGAAAAUUCCAUACUUUCUCAGACCCGUUGUGGGGAAUUCUAAACAGGCUCAAUAGUACCCUCUAGUGGGCAAAAGGGGAAUGCGCGGGGGCUCAGAGGACAAGGAGACAGCCAAAAGACUGGAGAAAAGUAAGAAGAAAUAUUCUGCAGAAGUGAAUUAAGUAUCCAAGUGCUCUGUGAUAUAGACAGGUACUUUAGUUUAAAGGUUUAACAGAUGGUGGAUCUGAUAAAAUAUAAUUCUCUAUAAAACACUGAUCCCGUGUGAUAUUGCAUCCACACAACACACAGCACAGUGAGCUCAGAACCCUCUGCAUGCAGGACAGUGAGUGAAGGACCCAGGCAGGUGAGCCCGGGGAGGGGGGGUCACUCCAUUCCCCACAAACCAUUGGCCAUUGGACUCCCGCCAUAAUCCAUCAUCCCCUGGGCAACUGCUUGUGGAAAGAUACCUGGACAACGCUAGCCAGAAAAAUACCAGUUUCCCCCUUAAGCUCCCACAUAACAGAAGUUUUGAUGGUGAAGCUUUAAUUGCUUUAUUUUUGCUUACAGAGAUCAAAUUAAAUAGUAAACCAACAGCACUGACACAGGGACAAAAGAACAGGGCGAAGACAAAAUCAAGUAUGUGAUUAAUCAUGCCAUGAACUGGGAGAUUCUGCAAGAGGCUGAGAGGUCACCAGCAACACCCACCCCACGUACCAUCCAUGUCUUUAGGCAGGAGACAACCUUCUGCAUUCCGUUCACUGCCCUGACUCCAUUUUUCUGUCAAAGUUCAGCUGUAUCUGAGGUUUAUUUCGAGGGUCUCCCUCCUCAGAUUUCUCAUGACUAACUGUCCCCAUGAGCAAUUGCCUUUCAAGUUUCUUUUCAGUUUCAAUGAACUUCAGUUAGAUCACCAUUCCUUUUACUCAUCAAAGGCACAUGGAACUUUUAUAUAUGUACAAAACAGUGUUGGGAAUAUAUAUCUGAAAACAGACAACAACCCCAUCUUCAUAAUUUUCCCACUGAAGGAGGAUGUGAGGAAGGGACUAGGCAGGCUCAAUCCUGGAAAAGUUAGCAGAUGGAGAUGUGGUAAAAGCUGCAAGGACAUUGCUUUAUAGAUUAUAUCCAGCAGAGAUGUCACCUCCAUCACAUGCACCUAGUCAUGGGUAGGUAUUCUAUAAAUGUUAGCUUUUAUUGUGUGUCGCUACUACUAUUGCUGCUGUAGUAAUUUACAUGUAUUUCUUUUGCUAUUCCUGCACAGUCACAUAAUAGAAGGGUGAAAUGCCAGUCUCUUCCACAAAUGCUUUAUUUAGUGAAAUUACUCCAUUACUCAGGGAGUGGUGAAUCCCAACACCAAUAACAGUUUAUUUCUCUAUUUGUAAAAGGCUACUAUCAAGAAACACUGUUCAGCAGAUUUCAUUGAUUCUUCAAUUUCUUCCUUCAUUCAUUCAACUAACACAUUACUUAUGGAGUUCACUUUGUGUGCCAAACCUUAUGCUAAGGAUGGGAAGUAGAGUAAUUAAGAAAAUGGGCAUGGCCUUUGCCCUCCCGGAGCUCUCUGUGUCCCAAGAUUUUUGGAUAUCAAGAACUUCAACAACCUUAGAUGAGGUUGUUGAAGCCAGAAUUAGACAGGGAGUCAUUAUAGAUAGGUAAAUCGAGUCAGGUAAAUAGAGUUGGGUGGGCUCAAGGAGGCCAAUCUGAGUGAGUCUGGGAAGUUGGAGACUGUCCCCUGAGAGAUUGAAAUGUUAAUUCCUUCAGAGCCCUUCCUCCACCCUUAUUAAGAACCUGCCCCUGCUCCAAACUGUUGCUAAGGUAACCUGACCCAGGAAUUGCCCCUCCCUACAGGGAGUUAUAAAAUUGUUAAUUAAUGUGUCUGGGGCUGCUCCAUCCUGCCCUUCCCCCAUCCAUCUGCUUCUCACCUUUUGGCCACCCACUGAGCAUCUCCUGGGCCUAGUCCUGUAAGCAGGAAGGAGGGAGAUAGGGGAAGAGAGCAGGGGGACAAAGGAAGCCUAGGACAUAUAAAAAGUCAAACACCCUCACUUCUUGGGAUACCAGGAUACCAGGCCCCCUUUGCCCUCCCUGGAGAAAUCUGUUACCCCUUUUUAAGUAAGCCCUGCUUUAUAUGCCUACCUCGGCGUGCUUCUCUAGUGUUAUACUUCAACAUGUGAAGGAGCAGCACAACUGGUCACUGAUAACUGGCAGUAUCAUUAUGUCAUGAAGGACGUCAAACUCAGCCUCCAGUAUCUGGAAGAGACAAUCUCAUUGUGCUUACCUGGAGCUGUGCCUGGUUCCAUGGGUACCUUCUGAGGUGUCUGCUGCAUGAAUGAACUGGUGAGUGAAGACUGGGAGGGUUGACAAGAGGAAUUAUUGCUAAAAUUUCAUUUGCUGUGCAAAUAACGAUCAUGAGGAACAGAGGGGUGUUCAUGGAAAUGCCUGGGAGUGAAUGAGUUCCUAUCGUGUGGUCACUACAAUGUUGACACUUUCUGACCAUUGCCUCCCAGCAGCCGUAGGAUUUAGCAUCAUUACUCCAAUUUUAGAGAUGAGAAAACAACAACAACAACAACAACAAAGUUUUGGGAUAUUAUUUAUAAUUUGGAAGCACGGAUAGUAAAGGAAUUGGGGACCAGAGAACAUGCUCAUGUCUGCCUUCUCCAGUCAUUCCCUAAAUCCCAUUUUUCUCACUGGGGAACAAGAGCUUCUUCUCCAGUCUAUAAUGAUGGGAAUGGAUGAGGUGACAGUCCAGCCUCAUUUGCCACAGCAGGAGAUGAGGAUCCUUUAGCGGAGACUAAUUCCCUGAAGGCAAUCAUCUCCCAACAUGCCUGAUGGGCAACUCUGAUAGUGAAGUCUCGCUUUCCUCCCAACAUUUUUCAAAUCAAGGAAAACAGCCACAGAUUUCCUGAACAUCGAAAGACCAGGGUCACUGUGCUGAGUGAAUUUUGAUACAGAACUUGGUUGCAUGGGACCUGGGGAUGGGAACUGAACGUCACCUGGUGCAGCUGUUCAUUUGAUGAAUCUCUCUAUUCCGUCCCCACCAUUCUACCCACCUGCCUGCACCUGACACUGCUAGGCUGGAGAUCUGGCUCAUGUUUCCAAAAGUGGCCCAUUUCACGUUCAGAAGGAGCCUUCUGGAAAGCCUACCCCAUGUUAAGCUGCAACCUGCUUCCAGCAGCUUCUCCUCUCCGGUUUUCAUUUUCUCCAUUGAGAGCCAUUUGGAAAUCCCAUCGUGUCCACGUCACUCCUAUUCUAUCUGCCACACCACAUACUUAGACUCCCAAUAUUUUUUUCAUCCAACUCAUUUUAACUUUACUUAUUUUAAUCUCCAAUGAAGCAAUAAUGCUUUGUAAUACAUUUUUUUUGUUUUCCUAACAAAUAUGAAUUAUAGUAUUGUUAGUGUGUUUUUAAUUAUAUAAAAAUCAUGCAUUACUCAAUGAUGCAAUACACUAUGAGGAAUGCAUCGUUAGGCAAUUUUGUCAUGGUGGUUAUUGGCAUCAGAUCAAUAUUGGCAUCAGAUCCACCAUUUUAGAUCAGGAGCCAUUUUUAUCUAGGGACUCCUGAGUUUUGAUUUAAGAGCCACUCUAUCUAGGGACUCCAGGCUUCGAUUCUGAAUGCACCUGCUACAAGGUUGAACCGCCGGAGCCCAUGACACAACCCUUAAGCAUGCUUGUGAAAUUCCUCUUGUGGGCUCUAAAGCUGCUCUGUGAGGGCCCACAGACUGCUGCUCCCCUUGGAGGGACAGCCUUGUGGGUUUGCUCCAUGCUACUGACAAUAAAUCUCUUGCAUGGGA